rnacentral:rRNA from 1 species
GCAAGUCGAACGAGAACGUGGGCUUCGGCUCUUUAGUAAAGUGGCAGACGGGUGAGUAAUACGUGGGUAACCUACCCGGAGGUGGGGGAUAACCUUCCGAAAGGAAAGCUAAUACCGAAUACCAUCUCAAGUUCCUCGGAACCUGCGAUCACAGCUGGCCUCUAUUUAUAAGCUAGCACCACCGGAGGUGCCCGAGCCCCAUUAGCUUGAUGGUGAGGUAACGGCUCACCAUGGCUACGAUGGGUAGCCGGCCUGAGAGGGUGAUC